GGGAAGAGUAUUUUUUGUUUUUCUUUUUGGUUCAUAAAGAACCUCAUAAGAUUGAUGCAGACUUCUGUCUCAUGAGCUGCUGUCCACACUGCCUGCGGAGCCUUGAAAACAAUAUAAGGGUCAACGAACCCAAUACUAUUGUCAUUUCUCAUUCUGAGCUCUCUCAUUUGGUGCCUACAUAUAUACAUACAAAUCCUAAGUGUGUAAGGAUUAUAUACAUAUAAUUAAAGAAGUUAGAAGUAUAAUAAAAAUAAAAAAUACUUACAGACAAAAGUAGCUGACA
rnacentral:lncRNA from 1 species